rnacentral:rRNA from 1 species
AGCGCAGGCGGGAAGACAAGUUGGAAGUGAAAUCCAUGGGCUCGACCCAUGAACUGCUUUCAAAACUGUUUUUCUUGAGUAGUGCAGAGGUAGGCGGAAUUCCCGGUGUAGCGGUGGAAUGCGUAGAUAUCGGGAGGAACACCAGUGGCGAAGGCGGCCUACUGGGCACCAACUGACGCUGAGGCUCGAAAGUGUGGGUAGCAAACA